rnacentral:rRNA from 1 species
UACGUAGGGUGCAAGCGUUGCCCGGAUUUAUUGGGCGUAAAGGGCGCGUAGGCGGCUCGGCACGUCCGUUGUGAAAUCGCCCGGCUCAACUGGGCGGGGUCAGCGGAUACGGUCGAGCUUGAGCAAGCUAGGGGGCAAUGGAAUUCCCGGUGUAGUGGUGGAAUGCGUAGAUAUCGGGAGGAACACCGGUGGCGAAGGCGGUUCUCUGGGCCUUACCUGACGCUGAGGAGCGAAAGCGUGGGGAGCGAACAGG